UGAAGGAAAGACUCUUCCUUUACUGCUCUUUUCUUCUCCAUCUGAAACUAAGUGUAGAGAGAGAAAGAGGAGAGAGAGAGAGAGAGGGAGAGAGAGAGAGAAAG